UAACACAUGCAAGUCGAGCGAGGUAUUUAUACCUAGCGGCGGACGGGUGAGUAACACGUGGGUAACCUGCCUCAGAGAGGGGAAUAGCCUUCCGAAAGGAAGAUUAAUACCGCAUAAUAUAUACUUUUAGCAUUAUGAGUAUAUCAAAGGAGCAAUCCGCUUUGAGAUGGGCCCGCGGCGCAUUAGCUAGUUGGAGAGGUAACGGCUCACCAAGGCGACGAUGCGUAGCCGACCUGAGAGGGUGAUCGGCCACAUUGGAACUGAGACACGGUCCAGACUCCUACGGGAGGCAGCAGUGGGGAAUUUUGCGCAAUGGGGGAAACCCUGACGCAGCAACGCCGCGUGAGUGAUGAAGGCUUUCGGGUCGUAAAGCUCUGUCUAGAGGGAAGAAAUGAUAGUCGGUUAAUACCCGGUUUUCUUGACGGUACCUCUGAAGGAAGCACCGGCUAACUCCGUGCCAGCAGCCGCGGUAAU
rnacentral:rRNA from 1 species